GUCCCUGUAGAGCAUUUUGGAUAGCGCGUUGGACUUCUGAUCCAAAGGUCGUGGGUUUGAAUACUACCUGGGAUG